UUAGCAGUGAGGAAUAUUGGUCAAUAGCCUAACGGCUGAACCAGCAACUUGGAGGAAUGUAUAGCAAUAGCUAAUUGCACCAACAAACAGUUGAUGCAAUAUCGACUAUGUCGAAUAAAAUUCUAGGUAUAGUUAUGAUAAUGACAUUUUAUGCCUAUGUGUCUUGACCAAAUUACGUGCCAGCAGUCGCGGUAAUACGUAGAAGACUAGUGUUAUUCAUCUUUAAUUGGUUUAAAGGGUACCUAGACGGUAAAUCAAGCCUUAACACAAGGGACUAAUAUACUAGAGUUACAUGUGAGGGAGUUCUAAAGUACUGCUGGUGUAGAGAUGAAAUUCUGUCAUACCUUUAGCGAUUAAAAGCACGGCACAGGUAUAGGCGAAGGCAUCUCCUUAUGUGAUAACUGACGUUGAAGGACGAAGGAUUUGUGUCGCGAACAGGAUUAGUUACCCCAGUAGUCAAAGCAGAAAAUGAUGAAUGUCAUAGAUUAGAUAAAUUAUAGUUUACUCUAUAAAUGAAAGUGUAAGCAUUCCACCUCAAGAGUAAUUUGGCAACAUUGGAACUGAAAUCAUUAGACCGUNUCUGGAACCAG
rnacentral:rRNA from 1 species